UUAAUAAAAAUCGGCGUGUUGCUCUUUUGUGACGCUCCGGAGUUUGGGUCAUCUUAUAAUGAUACCUUUCGAGGUGUUUUUAAGAGGCUUAAAAUUGACAUCUUUUUUGCGCAUUUUAGACGUACUAAAUUUUUUUUAUUCGUUUAUUCUAAUGCCAAAAUCUAUUAGAUGCGACCAUAUUGCAUGGUUCUGUGUCUAUAAAUUUUUUCAUG
rnacentral:misc_RNA from 1 species